CUGUUAAUUUUUUUCAGCAUACUUUGAUUUUUUUUCCGAAAAACUAUACUAUGGCUUUUAUCGAGAUCAACUGCCUAGCCUUUACAAUCUCGCGAGAGUUUCCCCAGUAUGUGAUUUCCCUUCUAGCCACCAAGUGCGUGCAAGUUCAUUGUACAACCUGCAUAAAGUUUAUCACUUAAGAAAUGUAAAAUGCGGAGCUGGUGUGGAGAGUACAAUCUGAUGGCGCAAAGGCAGCGUGGUUUCUUCAGCUUGUCCAGGGAACUUGCAGCCAUGAAAACUCAGCGUGGUCACAUUCUGGUGACGACGCUCCGCUGCACUCGCUGCGAGGCCCGAGCACCGGCGAGAUGAGGCCGAAGUCGGACAGCGACACGGUGCUGGGAAGGUCCAGACUGCAGGGCCUGGACAGAGGAGACGGGGAGGACGAGGACGAGGAGGGAGUGGGC